AAUCAACGCUGGCGGCGUGCCUAACACAUGCAAGUCGAACGAGAAAGUGGAGCAAUCCAUGAGUAAAGUGGCGACCGGGUGAGUAACACGUGACUAACCUACCUUCAAGUGGGGGAUAACCUCGGGAAACCGGGGCUAAUACCGCAUAACAUCCUUAGAGUGGAAAUUCCGGGGAUCAAAGGAGCAAUUCGCUGGAAGAGGGGGUCGCGGCUGAUUAGUUAGUUGGCGGGGUAAUGGCCCACCAAGACAGAGAUCGGUAGCCGGCCUGAGAGGGCGCACGGCCACACUGGAACUGAAACACGGUCCAGACUCCUACGGGAGGCAGCAGU
rnacentral:rRNA from 1 species